rnacentral:rRNA from 1 species
GAUCCUGGCUCAGGACGAACGCUGGCGGCGUGCUUAACACAUGCAAGCCGAACGAGAAUCUGUGGAAAGAGGAUUCGUCCAAUUGAAGCAGAGGACAGUGGCGGACGGGUGAGUAACGCGUGAGGAACCUGCCUUUCAGAGGGGGACAACAGUUGGAAACGACUGCUAAUACCGCAUAACAUAUAGAUGUCGCAUGGCAUUUAUAUCAAAGAUUUAUCGCUGAAAGAUGG